CAAAUCAGGGCUGAUCAUGUUAGGUUUGAGACGUAUAGUUUAGUGGUUUGCGCGUGGUAUUAGACCUGUAUUUGUUAGUUACAAUUAGUGUGGAUGUGAUUGCAUUAGAAAAUUAUAGUAUGUUUUAAAGAAAUAAUAAGUUGCAAAGUUUUGAAAUUUAAUUCAUUAACAAACCAUUUAAUUAACGUUAGUAACCUUAUCAAUGUUAUAUAAUAAUUAUUUUAAAAUACAAGUCAGUCACGGAAAUUUGUUUUAGACUUUUAAUUUAGGGGAAUAGACUUAUAAGUUAUAACUUAUAGAGGACAGAAGAAAAUUAAUCAAAAGUUGAAUUCCAAAUAAUUCAAGUAUUUGAAAUGAAGGAUCAAGACCUAAAAGAAACGGGUAACAAGUGUAUAAAAGCUGAGAAAUAUGCUGAAGCCGUCUUUCAUUAUACUCAUGCUCUGAAGAUAGAUGACUCUAUUUAUCAGAUCUACAGUAAUAGAUCUUUUGCUUUUCUCAAGAUGCAACAAUAUUACUAUGCCUUGCAAGAUGCAAAUAAAGUUAUAGAGCUGAAUCCAGAAUGGGCCAAGGGAUAUUUCCGCAAAGCUGAAGUAGAAUAUCAGACACAGCAUUAUGCAGAAGCUUUAGAAUCAUACAGAAAGGCUCUUCAGUUACAAGAAGAUGAAAAUGGUCUUGUUGAAUUAAUAAGAAAAACCAAACAAGAACUUGUGAAGCAACAAAAAGAUGAUCAACAAGUACCAUGGGUUGCUGCAGGAUUUGGAUUUGUUUUAGGGAUCCUUGCUGUUAUUUGUGCGUACAUUCUUCCUAAGACGCCAUACAUUAAUAAUGUUUUCUUGCAAGUCUUUAUAAUAAUUUUGGCUGGAGUGAUGGGUUUUUAUACUGGAAAGCUGCACAGAUACUCUCUACAGAAAAGCAGGAAAGGGUUUUUGGAGCCUCCUAUAGAUUUGUUUGGUGAAGAUUCAACAGACAGUCUCUUUACACAAAGUAGCAACAGUUCAAGUCGUCAGGAAGUAAAUAAAAGAAAUUCAGCUAGACAGCGUCAUUCAGUAAAGACAUGAAGAGAAGGGAAAAUGUCUCUUACAAAAAUUAUUAUUCUAGUCUUUUUUAUAUAUAUGUAUAUCUGUUUAUUAGGACUAGUAAGUUUAAUUUUACAUAUUCCAUAUUAUCAUAAAAUUUAGGGGAAAUUCAAAUGUGGAUUUUAUUUUCUACACAGAAUUUUAAUGAUCUAAUUAAAUAAUUUGUAAAUAAACUGAUUUAUAAAACAACAGCCUGUUGUAUUUAAUGGAAGUUAAUUAAAUAAAUUAGAAGUGGAUUUUGGAUAUAUCUCUUUACAGAUAAAUUGUAAUGUGGCUAAAAAGUUGUAAUAAUGUAAUUUUUGACUUUUUCAAUCUUUUUUCAAGACAAAACUGUCGUGGUGGAUAAAUUAGAAAAGUGGUCUCACCCAUUUAAACUUGACAGUCAUAUAAUGAUUUAUGAUCCCAAAGAUAGUGCCUGGUACAAGGUACUUUUGGGGUAAAACUUCUUACAAUUAAAGGCAGUAAACACUUCACAUUGCUGAGUAGUGACUAUUUCAUCAGUAGAGUAUUUGGGUGUAGUUAAGUUUGCUAUAUUCUGAAUGGAUGUAACUUAUAAUGAUAAUUAUAUUAUUCUGCCUGGAGAAGCCAUGCAUCACCUUGAGUCAGAUUGUUUUUUUGUUUUUAAACAAAAGUUAUUUUAUUUCUGUUAAAUGUAUGUUAUGUGCUAGACUUGGGCUCUCCUUCAGGACCCCAUAUUUAUAUAAUGAAUACAUUAGGUGUCUAUAUUGACACUUACUGCCCGACCUAAUAAGUCUGGUGAUUUUUCCCGAGAAACUUCACUGAAUGUCUUGGAUGGUCUAUUUUGAAAAAAUUAAUGCACUCUGAGAGACAUAACACCUCGGUUCUGUUUUUCUAAUUUUUGAAACAUGAGGUAAUUAACAGGGACAGGCAAUAGUAUUUGUAUUGUUUUACUAGUAGUAAAAUUUUUGAACUGUCAGAAGAAUGUUUUCAUUAAUCAAUGGAACAGUGUGGCCAAAGAGGUUAGUGCUUCGGUCUUGUAAUCGAAAUGUUACACAUGCUUGCCUGCAUCUAGUCAUGUCCUUGAGCAAGAUGCUGUUACCCGAAAUUUGCUUAGGUUUACCCAUAUGUACAAUGGACAUCAGCCAAUAAGUGGGGGUGGUGGUAACCUAAAAUGAAUUGACCACCUUAUCCAAGGAGAAUUUUAAAACAUUCACAAACGUUUGUUGUGCUUCUGAACACUAGUUAUUCACUUGUCCAUGUGUCAAAUGGCUUUCAAUAACAUUGGAGUUUAAGGCAUAAAUUAUAGAAAAUAGUGAAGAUACUAAAAUUUGGUCUUUGGCUCUGAUUAUAAAAUACACAAGACAUUAGUUUCUUUAGCAUGUGCUUUUCGAUAUUUAUUCGUCAAGUCAAAUUCGUUAAUCGUACAUUUGUAAGUUCACUCUUUUACAUAUGAUAAUCAAAAACUAAGUUUUAUUCUGAGAGCAUUGUACAAUACUUAUUCAAUAAAUGUUGUGUUUGUAAUUUUUAAUAGUAAAACCUUGACUAUUAUUAUGGUUCACUGUAUAAAGCAAGAAAUACAGUAUGGCUUGAGGUGGGAGGCCCAGAAAAAUUUUAGACUCGUAUCCAUGAUGUAAUGACGAGUCAACCCCACAAAAGAUGUACUAAACUACAGUCCUACUAUUGUAUAUAGAAGCACAUAAAAAAAGAUUAAAGCUUAUGGAUCAAGUCAUGAUUAUUAUAGUGUGUGUGUGUGUGGGUAGGGGGAAUAUGCAUUGUUUUCU
rnacentral:misc_RNA from 1 species